GCCACCCCUCUCUUCGCGCCACACCACGCCACGCCACGCCACGCCACGCCGCUCAGCCAGACCCCUCUCUGCUCCCUAGGGUUUGCUCAUCUCGUUUAUUUGUCACCAGUUUAUUUCACCAGCUGCGGGGAAAAAGGUCUGAACCUCGAUCUCAUCAGCCCCUUUUCUGUGUAACGCCCCCUCUCUCUCUCUCUCUAAGGGCUUUUACCCUUUCCUAUAGAAAAAGUGGAUGCCAAAAAACGCAGAUUAUGCAUUCACUGUUUUCAAUUCGAGGGAUUGCUUGUAAAUCGGUUCUGUAAUUCUUCUGAAUUGAUUUAAAAUAAAGGCUGAUUGAUCGUUAGGGCCCUGUAUAUCUCAUUUUUUGGGGGUAAUUUGGUUGGGUUUAAUGGAAUGUGGUGGUGUUGGUGAAGAAGAAGAAAAUAAGAGUAUUGUUGCAGGCGAUGCAUCCGAUGCCACAGAAUUGGCAACCCCACCACCAAAAUGCCGUUUCUCUCUCUUCACCCAUCAACUAUCUCCAAGGUGAAUCCUUUCUUUUUCUUUUUUAUUUUAUUUUUUUCUUUCUUCUCACUAGGUCUACUUUUACCGUAAAUUGGAUGAUUGCUCUUGCAAUCAUUGUUUGAGUACUGAAUUGGAUAUCCUUUUGCCCCAUGAUAAUUUUUCCAUUAUUUGGCAUUGCAUGGUUAAAUUUUGAGAAUUUGCUUGUUUCAUAUUGUUUUCUCAUUUUCUUAAAAGAUUUUCUCAAACGAACCAUCAACCCUUCUGAUUUUCCACUCUUAAAUUUGUAGAUAAAGCUCUUACAACACGGUUUGCAUGCUUAUAUUGAAAUAGCAUGUCACAUUCUUUGCCUUUUGUUUAUUGGUUUGCCAAAAAACGACUUGGUUCAGUCUUAUAUUUGGUUCAUGGGAGCAGUUAUUAAGCAGAUAUUGAUUCAUGGAAGAAUUCUAUGAUUUAUAUUGAAAAUGGAUUAUCUCUGAUUUCUUACAAACUCGAUACUUCUUGUAGAGCGUGGUUUGCAUGCUCCUCUUGGCAUGGUCUUGUUCAUUGCAUGUUUAUUUAAUUUUGAAAAAAAUAGAUUCAAUUUCAGUUUCACAUUUGCGGUAAAGAGUUAUUCGCUCUCUCUCUCAAUACAACGGACUUUAAUUUCAAUUGAUAUUUUAUCUCAAAAAAUAAAAUUAAUAAAAAUUAAUAAAAAAUAUCUAAG
rnacentral:lncRNA from 1 species